rnacentral:rRNA from 1 species
GACGAACGAUGGCGGCGUGCCUAAUACAUGCAAGUAGGACGAAGUUGCGAACGGGGGAGUAACGCGUAGGUAGCUAGCUAUUAGAGGGGGAUAAGUAUUGGAAACGGUAACUAAUACCGCAUACUAGUAGAUGGAGCUGCUGUGUAUUAACUACUAGUUAGGGUAAUGGCCGACAGAGGCGACGAUACAUAGCCGACCUGAGAGGGGGAUCGGGCACACAGGGACUGAGCAACGGCCCAGACUCUUACGGGGGGAAGCAGUAGGGAAUCUUCGGCAAUGGGGGGAACCCUGACCGGGCAACUCCGCGUGAGUGAAGAAGGUUUUCGGAUGGGAAAGCUCUGUGUUUAAGGAAGCGGUACUUAACCAGAAAGCGACGGCUAACUACGUGCCAGCAGCCGCGGUAAUAC